rnacentral:rRNA from 1 species
GCAACUCGCCUGCAUGAAGUCGGAAUUGCUAGUAAUCGCAGAUCAGCAUGCUGCGGUGAAUACGUUCCCGGGCCUUGUACACACCGCCCGUCACACCAUGGGAGUCGGUAACACCCGAAGUCGGUAGCCUAACCGUGAGGAGGGCGCCGCCAAGGUGGGAUUGAUGACUGGGGUGAAGUCGUAACAAGGUAAC